AGUGAACGCUGGCGGUAGGCCUAACACAUGCAAGUCGAACGGCAGCACAGUAAGGGCUUGCUCUUACGGGUGGCGAGUGGCGGACGGGUGAGGAAUACAUCGGAAUCUACUUUUUCGUGGGGGAUAACGUAGGGAAACUUACGCUAAUACCGCAUACGACCUACGGGCGAAAGCAGGGGAUCUUCGGACCUUGCGCGAUUGAAUGAGCCGAUGUCGGAUUAGCUAGUUGGCGGGGUAAAGGCCCACCAAGGCGACGAUCCGUAGCUGGUCUGAGAGGAUGAUCAGCCACACUGGAACUGAGACACGGUCCAGACUCCUACGGGAGGCAGCAGUGGGGAAUAUUGGACAAUGGGCGCAAGCCUGAUCCAGCCAUACCGCGUGGGUGAAGAAGGCCUUCGGGUUGUAAAGCCCUUUUGUUGGGAAAGAAAAGCAGCAGGUUAAUACCCCGCUGUUCUGACGGUACCCAAAGAAUAAGCACCGGCUAACUUCGUG
rnacentral:rRNA from 1 species